CAGUCGCCGCGGUAAAACGUAGGUGGCAAGCGUUGUCCGGAAUUAUUGGGCGUAAAGCGCGCGCAGGCGGAUAGGUCAGUCUGUCUUAAAAGUUCGAGGCUUAACCCCGUGAUGGGAUGGAAACUGCCAAUCUAGAGUAUCGGAGAGGAAAGUGGAAUUCCUAGUGUAGCGGUGAAAUGCGUAGAUAUUAGGAAGAACACCAGUGGCGAAGGCGACUUUCUGGACGAAAACUGACGCUGAGGCGCGAAAGCCAGGGGAGCGAACGGGAUUAGAUACCCCGGUAGUCCCUGUCUCUUAUACC
rnacentral:rRNA from 1 species